UCCUUAGGGGGCUAGCGUUGUCCGGAAUUACUGGGCGUAAAGCGCGCGUAGGCGGCUUCUUAAGUCUGAGGUGAAAGGUACAACGCUUAACGUGAACAGUGCCUUGGAUACUGGGGAGCUUGAGUGUGGCAGAGGAUAGUGGAAUUCCUGGUGUAGCGGUGAAAUGCGUAGAUAUCAGGAGGAACACCCAUGGCGAAGGCAGCUAGCUGGGCUAACACUGACGCUGAGGUGCGAAAGCGUGGGGAGCGAACGGG
rnacentral:rRNA from 1 species